rnacentral:rRNA from 1 species
AAAUAGAUACCCCCGGUAGUCCACGCCGUAAACGGUGGGCACUAGAUGUGGGGGCUCUUUUCCAUGAGUUCCGCGUCGCAGCUAACGCAUUAAGUGCCCCGCCUGGGGAGUACGGCCGCAAGGCUAAAACUCAAAGGAAUUGACGGGGGCCCGCACAAGCGGCGGAGCAUGCGGAUUAAUUCGAUGCAACGCGAAGAACCUUACCAAGGCUUGACAUAUACCGUUUAUCCCUAGAGAUAGGGAGUCCUUCGGGGUCGGGUAUACAGGUGGUGCAUGGUUGUCGUCAGCUCGUGUCGUGAGAUGUUGGGUUAAGUCCCGCAACGAGCGCAACCCUCGUUCUAUGUUGCCAGCGCGUAAUGGCGGGGACUCAUAGGAGACUGCCGGGGUCAACUCGGAGGAAGGUGGGGAUGACGUCAAAUCAUCAUGCCCCUUAUGUCUUGGGCUUCACGCAUGCUACAAUGGCCGGUACAAAGGGCUGCAAUACCGCAAGGUGGAGCGAAUCCCAAAAACGCCGGUCUCAGUUCGGAUUGAGGU